rnacentral:rRNA from 1 species
UACGUAGGUGGCAAGCGUUGUCCGGAUUUACUGGGCGUAAAGAGCGCGCAGGCGGUCGUUCAAGUCGCGUGUGAAAGCCCCCGGCUCAACUGGGGAGGGUCACGCGAUACUGAUCGACUCGAAGGCAGGAGAGGGAAGUGGAAUUCCCGGUGUAGUGGUGAAAUGCGUAGAUAUCGGGAGGAACACCUAUGGCGAAAGCAGGUACCUGGGCCAUUACUGACGCUGAGCUGCGAAAGCUAGGGGAGCAAACAGG